CACCUACGGGUGGCAGCAGUAGGGAAUAUUGCACAAUGGAGGAAACUCUGAUGCAGCGACGCCGCGUGAGUGACGAAGGCCUUCGGGUUGUAAAGCUCUGUUCUCAGGGAAAAAGAAAGUGAUUGUACCUGAGAAGAAAGGACCGGCUAACUUCGUGCCAGCAGCCGCGGUAAGACGAGGGGUCCAAGCGUUGUUCGGAAUCAUUGGGCGUAAAGCGGGUGUAGGUGGCUCUAUAAGUCAGAAGUGAAAGCCCCAGGCUUAACUUGGGAAGUGCUUUUGAUACUGCAGAGCUUGAGUGUGGGAGAGGAUCGUGGAAUUCCAGGUGUAGUGGUGAAAUACGUAGAUAUCUGGAGGAACACCGGUGGCGAAGGCGGCGAUCUGGCCCAACACUGACACUGAGACCCGAAAGCGUGGGGAUCAAACAGGAUUAGAUACCCUGGUAGUCCACGCCGUAAACGAUGGAUACUUGGUGUUGGAGGUAUUGACCCCUUCAGUGCCGAAGCUAACGCGUUAAGUAUCCCGCCUGGGGAGUACGGCCGCAAGGUUAAAACUCAAAGAAAUUGACGGGGGCCCGCACAAGCGGUGGAGCAUGUGGU
rnacentral:rRNA from 1 species